CAUAAUGACUCUCGGCAACGGAUAUCUCGGCUCUCGCAUCGAUGAAGAACGUAGCGAAAUGCGAUACUUGGUGUGAAUUGCAGAAUCCCGUGAACCAUCGAGUCUUUGAACGCAAGUUGCGCCCGAAGCUGUUAGGCUGAGGGCACGCCUGCCUGGGUGUCGCA
rnacentral:rRNA from 1 species